GACGAACGCUGGCGGCGUGCCUAAUACAUGCAAGUCGAACGCUUCUUUCCUCCCGAGUGCUUGCACUCAAUUGGAAAGAGGAGUGGCGGACGGGUGAGUAACACGUGGGUAACCUACCCAUCAGAGGGGGAUAACACUUGGAAACAGGUGCUAAUACCGCAUAACAGUUUAUGCCGCAUGGCAUAAGUGUGAAAGGCGCUUUCGGGUGUCGUUGAUGGAUGGACCCGCGGUGCAUUAGCUAGUUGGUGAGGUAACGGCUCACCAAGGCCACGAUGCAUAGCCGACCUGAGAGGGUGAUCGGCCACACUGGGACUGAGACACGGCCCAGACUCCUACGGGAGGCAGCAGUAGGGAAUCUUCGGCAAUGGACGAAAGUCUGACCGAGCAACGCCGCGUGAGUGAAGAAGGUUUUCGGAUCGUAAAACUCUGUUGUUAGAGAAGAACAAGGACGUUAGUAACUGAACGUCCCCUGACGGUAUCUAACCAGAAAGCCACGGCUAACUACGUG
rnacentral:rRNA from 1 species